UACAAGUAUGUAACCUUCACGACAGCCAGAAGCAUUGUUAAGCAGCUGUAAGAUACAUGAGUAAUUGCCAUAACAAAAAUAAAGCGGUGUAACUGCUCAAGGCCUUCAUAUGAUACAAAGGGCUCGUAAUCCUGUAUACGAAAAUGCCAAAAUGAUCUGGUGCAUGGAGCAAAUGCGCUGUCGUAGUAUUUUGACGGGAUACAUAUGUCUGAUAUGAUGCUAGAAGUGGCUGUAAGAAGGAGAGAUAUGAAGCCAAGAAGCAUCAACUCUACACACAAACGACAUAAACAUGAUGAUGAGAAUAAUGAAUGUCAUAUGAAGUGUUAACAUUUGUUUAACAGAUUUUGUA
rnacentral:lncRNA from 1 species